rnacentral:siRNA from 1 species
AACAAUAACAUCGAUCGUGUUGC